rnacentral:rRNA from 1 species
UACGAAGGGGGCUAGCGUUGUUCGGAAUCACUGGGCGUAAAGAGUACGUAGGCGGAUUAUUAAGUCAGGGGUGAAAUCCCGAGGCUCAACCUCGGAACUGCCUUUGAUACUGGUAAUCUUGAGUCCGGGAGAGGUGAGUGGAACUCCUAGUGUAGAGGUGAAAUUCGUAGAUAUUAGGAAGAACACCAGUGGCGAAGGCGGCUCACUGGCCCGGAACUGACGCUGAGGUACGAAAGCGUGGGGAGCAAACAGG